GCCCUGGUGGCAUGGUGGUUAAAUGCUGGUACUGCAACUACAAGGUUUUGAGUUCGAUCCCAGGCAGGGCU